AGCCUCUUUAUGAUGCUGCCUUGU
rnacentral:miRNA from 1 species